UACGAAGGGGGCUAGCGUUGUUCGGAUUUACUGGGCGUAAAGCGCGUGUAGGCGGGCCGUUAAGUUGGGGGUGAAAGCCCGGAGCUCAACUCCGGAAUUGCCUUCAAAACUGGCGGCCUGGAGCAAGAUAGAGGCGAGUGGAAUUCCGAGUGUAGAGGUGAAAUUCGUAGAUAUUCGGAGGAACACCAGUGGCGAAGGCGGCUCGCUGGAUCUUUGCUGACGCUGAGACGCGAAAGCGUGGGGAGCAAACAGG
rnacentral:rRNA from 1 species